GGCCCGUUGGUCAAGUGGUUAAGACACCGCCCUUUCACGGCGGUAUCAUGGGUUCGAAUCCCGUACGGGUCACCA
rnacentral:tRNA from 1 species